GCAACGACGUUCUUCCUGUGAUUCUCACUGGAUUCCCUAAAGCUCUGUGGCAACCCAGGCUGCGGACAGAGGCCUCUGGUUCUGUGUGUGGCAGGAGCAGGCCGGCAGUCGAGGCUGUCCCCACCCAGCCUGCAUUGGAAUUGAGCACGGCCGCUGAUUCAGGGGUGCCGCCCGGAAUGAGCAGUGGGACCAGAAGGCAAGAGGAAGCGCAUUGCAGUGAGUCUGGGUGAGCAUACGUGGUCACUGGAGGAGGACACCAGCUCUGAAUCUGGCCAGUGUCCAGCAUGGCCUUGUCCUUCAUUCUUCUGAGUGUGUAGAAGGCUGUUUAAGAGAAACCAGAGAAGUCACCUGACACUCCACACUGUCGGGCCAGGGCCAGCACAUUUGAAAAACC
rnacentral:lncRNA from 1 species